GAUGAACGCUGGCGGCGUGCCUAACACAUGCAAGUCGAGCGAACAGACGAGGAUCUUGCUCCUCUGACGUUAGCGGCGGACGGGUGAGUAACACGUGGAUAACCUACCUAUAAGACUGGGAUAACUUCGAGAAACCGGAGCUAAUACCGGAUAAUAUAUUGAACCGCAUGGGUCAAUAGUGAAAGACGGUUUUGCUGUCACUUAUAGAUGGAUCCGAGCCGCUUUAACUAGUUGGUUAGGUAACGGCUUACCAAGGCAGCGAGGCGUAGCCGAACUGAGAGGAUGAUCGGCCACACGGGAACGGAGACGCGGUCCAGACUCCUGAGGGAGGCAGCAGUCGGGAAUCUUCGGCAGAGGGCGGAAGGCUGACGGAGGAAAGCCGCGUGAGUGAGGAAGGUCUUCGGCGCGUAAAACUCUGUUAUUAGGGAAGAACAAAUGUGUAAGUAACUAUGCGCGGCUUGACGGUACCUAAUCAGAAAGCCACGGCUAACUACGUG
rnacentral:rRNA from 1 species